rnacentral:rRNA from 1 species
AUACUUAGGGUGCAAGCGUUAAUCGGAAUUACUGGGCGUAAAGCGAGUGUAGGCGGCUACGUAAGUCGGAUGUGAAAGCCCUGGGCUCAACCUGGGAAUUGCAUUCGAAACUGCGUGGCUAGAGUUUGGUAGAGGUAAGUGGAAUUCCGGGUGUAGCGGUGAAAUGCGUAGAUAUCCGGAGGAACAUCAGUGGCGAAGGCGGCUUACUGGAUCAAAACUGACGCUGAGGCUCGAAAGCGUGGGGAGCAAACAGGAUUAGAAACCCCGGUAGUCC